GACCAGUGUGUCUUAUGCUAUGUCUCUUCAGGUAUGACUUUAAAGAGAAUUUUUUCCCACAGACUUCACAUUCAUGAUUUCUCUCACCAGUGUGUGUAAGGAUGUGUGUGUUGAGGUGACUCUUCUGAUUAAAUCUUUUCCCACAAACUUCACAUUCAUGAUUUCUCUCACCAGUGUGUGUAAGGAUGUGUGUGUUGAGGUGACUCUUCCGAUUAAAUCUUUUCCCACAAACUUCACAGUCAUGAUUUCUCUCACCAGUGUGUGUAAGGAUGUGUGUGUUGAGGUAACUCUUCUGAUUAAAUCUUUUCCCACAAACUUCACAUUCAUAAUUUCUUUCACCAGUGUGUAUAAGGAUGUGUCUGUUGAGGGUACUCUUCAGAUUAAAUCUUUUCCCACAAACUUCACAUUCA